UCCAGACUCCUACGGGAGGCAGCAGUGGGGAAUAUUGCACAAUGGGGGAAACCCUGAUGCAGCGACGCCGCGUGAGCGAUGAAGUAUCUCGGUAUGUAAAGCUCUAUCAGCAGGGAAGAAAGUGACAGUACCUGACUAAGAAGCCCCGGCUAACUACGUGCCAGCAGCCGCGGUAAUACGUAGGGGGCAAGCGUUAUCCGGAUUUACUGGGUGUAAAGGGAGCGUAGACGGCAGGGCAAGUCUGGAGUGAAAGGCAGGGGCCCAACCCCUGGACUGCUCUGGAAACUGUCCGGCUGGAGUGCAGGAGAGGUAAGUGGAAUUCCUAGUGUAGCGGUGAAAUGCGUAGAUAUUAGGAGGAACACCAGUGGCGAAGGCGGCUUACUGGACUGUAACUGACGUUGAGGCUCGAAAGCGUGGGGAGCAAACAGGAUUAGAUACCCGCGUAGU
rnacentral:rRNA from 1 species